rnacentral:lncRNA from 1 species
AGGACUUUUACAAGAACAGAGGAGGCUCAUAAGAGUCAUCUCGAGGCACCUCAGAUCUGAAAGUAUAUGGUGCAUAAUUGGAAAUGGAGCAUGAUGGGGAGAAGUAUGAACCAGAGACUUUUGGAAGAAGUCUGAAUUCUGUGUGCUUUAUAUACAUUUCUCAUGAAGUAGGUCCACAGUUGUAAAGAAUUUAUUCCAUUGCAUACAUUUAUUCACCAUUAACACUACUUCAAAACAACCCUUUAUGCAUAAACACAUAUAUGAGAACAAGAUAAACUUGUUUAAAUUUCUACUAAGGAUUGUUUAGAAAAUAUCCAAAUGAACCGAGCUUAAACCAUGCUGAAUAUUCAUACAUCUCUAAUUUUUUUAAAUGUUGCUAAAAAUUAAAAAUAAGGUUUGCGUCUAGUAAGGUGACAUAUCUAGAGUUUACAAGAUCAUGUUUAAUACUGUAAACCAUCUAUAAUUUUAAUUUCCUUUUUUCAUAUGCUGUGUGACAAACAAUUCCACCAUUAUAAAUAACCUUCUUUAUAGAGUCAUACUAAUGGUGCCAUAAAGGUAUUACUUGAUGUAUUUCCUACAUUUUUCUCUCCUUUGUUUUUGAAAAGAUUUAUAGUUAUUUCUCUAUUUAGCCAGCAGAUGUGAAGUGACUUCAGGUUGAUCUGUAUCCAUCAGAAAGUGCCAAAUGUUUCUUAUUUAAUUCCAUUUCCGUGGAAACCUGAAGACACUUCAUGUAUCGUCUUUCAAUUUCCUGAAGAAAGAUAACUUUCAUUAUUUUGGCAUGAGACACUCUUAGAAUGCCCUAUGUCGAGAAUAAUUAGAAUUUCACUCUUCAGCUUCUCUCCUGCAGUAUAUUGACUGUCUAAAAGAGCCUCACUGUCUGGUGCCUGAUAAAUGUGUUCUUGAGUGUAUGAACUGAAGUGAAUCUGAGCCAGACCAGUUAGAGCUGUCCAUGUGAAAGCCUAGAUAAAGGUGUAAAAAUGUACAUGUUGAGACAUUCAUUAAUUUACUGCAUGACUAUUCCAUUUAUUAAACAGAGGCUACUGUGACAGACUAGCUCAGAUGUUGUGUCUAUAGAGAAUAAGAAAAUAAAUUCAACUACACAGUUACCAUGGCACUUGCAAAUUGAGUUUUAACAGUUACUUUCAUUUCAUUAAAACAAAGCCUAGAUUAGUACUGGUCCUAAACUCUUUCAAAAGACUUCUGCAAACUGUGGUGGGGGGACAAAAGAAAUUUCAUAUGAAAUACUGGUAGAAACAAAGACAGAAAGUAGGGGCAAAGCAAUUAUUUCAUUUAAAAUCACAAUCAAACUCUGCCUCAUGUCUUAACUCACACUGCUUUUCUAGAGCCACCUGCCAUUUCACAAGUGAAUACUUUGUGCCUCUGCCUAGAAGACUUUGUGCUGUCUCUCUUUCCACAAAAUUGAAUAAUCUCUUCUCCCU